UGCCUCUCGCCAAAGAACCAGUUGA
rnacentral:piRNA from 1 species